GGCGCUGUAGUGUAGAGGUUAUCACUCGAGAUUCUGAUGAGCAGGACUCCUAAUAGGAGAUGCGCGGUCCGUCUUCUCGUAACCCAGGUUCGAGUCCUGGCAGUGCCU